CACAUAGUGAUGUCUUAUCACCGUCUUAGCAAGACCGAUUCAACAGUAAAUGACUCGCUUUUAAAUCAACCUCGCAUUAAUGUGAUGUCACAGGCCAACAGGUCUGUGCUUAAGUAAGAUAAAAUCAAAAUGAUUCUGAGAUGACCAAUCAAACCAAACCAGGUAGACAGAGGUGCAACUCAAAGCAGUACAUGUGCGCGAUACCUCAGUUAGUAGAAAUGCAAGAAAGAUGCAAGUAAUCAAAAUCGGACUAUUAUACAGCAGUUUAAUGAUGAGAAAUAUGAAAAUGCAGUGAUUUUUAAGAUGACAAAACAUUACUGCAGAUGGGUGUCCAAAUUGAAUGUGCUAUUUUCACUCCCUCCAGUAAUUUACUUCUCGUUAUUCAGUGUGUUUAUUAACAAAAUUCACCACCACCCUUUAAUUCUUGAAGAGACCUUUUUACUGUAUAAUGAUUAGAUUCACUGUGUUGGACCGGACUGCUGCCUUGAACUUGAAAACGCGACGCAUCAUGUGUGUGAGUAGACCGUUGUCUACAUUAAAAGCUUUUUAAAUUUGCAUUGUUUUAAAUGUAUAUAGUGUAUAAUUUUUCUUCACUGUUCAUCUACCGGUAGCGCGCGUGUACAGACUUGAAAUAAGCCUGUGUUUGUAUUUUGGCUUAAACGGACAAAUUUACAUAACAUUUGUAAAUGUAGUGUCUUAGUGCGUAUCAUAGUAAGCUACUGAUUAUGUCUUAAAGGGGACAGCGAAUGAAAAAAAAACGUUUUUACCUUGUCUUUGUUGAAUAAUGGUAGUCUACCGGCAUUCACAAACAUACAAAAAGUGCUAAACAUGCUGAACAUCUCAGUCUCAUAGUAAUUCCUCUUUUAGAAAUGUUAGCCAGAAAACGGCCCAAUCUGAAAAACUGAUGCUUAUGACAUCGCAGGCAUCUCACUGCACCUCCACUUUAAAAUAAUUUGCUUCAUUUUUUAAGUGGCAGCAAAGUCAGCCAAUCAGUAAUGAGAUUGCAAGUUAAGCCAGUAGGGGGAGCCAAAUAGGUGCAAAACCACUUGUUUAAAAUCCCCCACCCUAAUAGAGAUAUCUGAGAGAGGUUUUUAGGAAGUUUCGAAGGCAUUACAGACCCAAACAAAAAUUUUUGUCUACAUGUCACAUCACAGAACAAGGAUAAAUACCCUGUUCAAUCAUUCUAUGUCACCUUUAACCGAAUGUAAAAUUUUUAUUGCAUUUGGUCUUAAAGCCUAUAAUAAACACCCCUAAAGUAGCCUUGGCUAACCCAUUUAUAAAAUAAAAUUGUAUUUCAGUAUAUUAAGUGUAUAAUGAGUGUGUGUACAUUGUGAAUUAAUUUAAUAAACUAAUUCAUGGUAGCCUUCUGUUAAUUCACUAAAAUGAUGCUAUAUUCAGUUAGCCUAUGUUUACUUUACGGACAAAGCCCAGUGUGCCCAGGAUGGUAAAAAUAAUUAUUACAAUGUAUUCCUAAUGACCAACACAAGUCUUCUGCAUACUGACAUGUUAUAAAAUCUGUACACAGCAAAAUCACCAGUGUUAAAUUUUCAGGGAUGGUGUUAAAUACACAGUGUUGAUGCUGUUUUAACACUAUCUGGUAAUAAAAUAACACUGCCAUUGCUAGGCCAGUGUUAUAUUCACGACAGUGUCAGUGCAAAACAAGGGUGUUAUCAGAUUUCACUCUGAGCGGUGUAAAUUAAGCCACGCCUCCACUAAACAUAUCCUGUCAGGGAUUUUACCGCCAUUUUCUUUCAGAGGAGAACUGAAGAGAUCAGGUAAAUCAGUCUCAUAAUAUUCACAUGGUUUAGCUAAAUUAAACUGUUAUUUCUCUGUCUGACUCUACGCAGCCAUAUGCCAAAAAACCUAAAUAAGAUAUUUUUCCCAUUUUAUUUCCCCUUUGUUCGUUAUUUGGUUCAGUUUAAUCAGAGCUACCUUGUGUUACGUUGUUCCCUUGUUAGUUUAGUAUAAAGUUAAACUGCUAGCUAAAAGUUUAAAACCAAGAAGGAUAAUUUUAACAGGAGAUAUGAAUGAUAAAACGCGACAUGCACUACAAAUUGAAGGUAUGAAAUUAAGUUAAAUGAAAGCUCGUUUAUUCACCAUAUGAUGCUCGUUAUAAGGUAAUCAUAUAUAGGCUAGAUACCGUGAGUUAACGAGGUCGUUUACUAGCACGUGAGUGCACGGAUAUCGGUUAAUUAUUCAAAUUACUGAAAAACACGGAGAAAACCGCAACCGCAUCGUCAUGUGUUUUUCUAAGAUGUAUGCAAACAGGGGAAAUAUCGCCAAACCAACAAUUAAUUUGACCAAAACCUCACAAUAUAUCAUCAUUUGUAUGCACAGAUUGGAUGCAUUGUGUGUUGUAAGCUAUUCGUGGCGCUAGAUGUCAGACAGAUGCAAAUGGCAAAUACAUACGGAAGUGUAAAACGUGUAUGGCGAACAUUUGUUUUUUUUCUGUCAUUAUAGAUGCUAGUUUGGUGAAAGUUCACACUGAGUGCUUCAAAUCAUUCAGAAGAGAUGCUGUUUUUAGGGCAGUUUAUUAAAGAAGACCUGACAUGGAUGACUUCCAAUGAGAAACGACUGCUAAUACUUAUAUAAAUUCAUUACAGAAGGACCCUACCAGACUAUAUUUGAAUACGGCAUACCCAUGAAUUCUGGAACUGUUAUUCCUUAACCCAGUUUGGAGGAUAAGAGCUUACCAACUAGUUAUAAAUAUGCUGAGGUGAUGUAUUGCAAAAUAGCCAACAUACAACAAUAUGGAUGACCCUCUGUCUGGUCAACAGGAGUUUAAAUAUGGACGGGACAGUUAUGUGGCAGCUCUUCCCUGGCUCAUUCACCUCUUGCCUUUCAUUUGUGAAAGGAAAAAAGAAGAAAGAAGAAAGAGGGUCAAUGUGCAACUGAAGCUACUGAUUGUGCUGUGUGAUGAGCAUCAAUCCAUGCUUUGAGGGGGAUGAAUCAGCACAGCCCUGCCUGCACUGCGUUGGGAACAGAAGUUGCAUCCAGAAUUUUUGCAUCAUUCUGGACCAAGAAGCCAUUCCCUUCAUGAUGAAGACCACUGAUGCAGCCUUCCGCUACAUCAUGAGUAAAACAACUACAGAACUAAAUACCAGGUUGGAACGUAUUUAAGAAAAAUGAAACGUCUUUUGAAUUGAAAUGUCUGUUUUGUUAUGGAAAAAUCUUUAGUAUUGUGAAGGAUAAGCAUUUCUGCCUGCCAGUAAGGUAAUGCAGUGUAUUUUAAUGUUCAAGUUUUGAGUAGGGUGGCUAAUUUUUUUUAAACUCUCAUUUGAUAUAUUAAAGACCUUAUAAUAAGUGGUUUUCAUGUCACUGCGCUGUGGUAUAAGAUAACUUUCAUUAUUCCAUACUGUAUUCGGUUUCUAAUUGUAGCUGAGGUAUUUAAAUAAGCAGUGUUAAAUGCAAAGUGUUGUGUGUAUCAAUGUAAAUAUUAAAUGUGAUGUACUUUAAUAAAAAGAGGUUUUGCAAUA